GAUGAAGAACGCAGCGAAAUGCGAUAAGUAAUGUGAAUUGCAGAAUUCAGUGAAUCAUCGAGUCUUUGAACGCACAUUGCGCCCCCUGGUAUUCCGGGGGCAUGCCUGUCCGAGCGUCAUUGCUGCCCUCAAGCACGGCUUGUGUGUUGGGCCCCGUCCCCUCCCCCGGGGACGGGCCCGAAAGGCAGCGGCGGCACCGCGUCCGAUCCUCGAGCGUAUGGGGCUUUGUCACCCGCUCUGUAGGCCCGGCCGGCGCCAGCCGACACCCAACUUUUAUUUCUAAGGUUGACCUCGGAUCAGGUAGGGAUACCCGCUGAACUUAAGCAUAUCAAUAAGCGGAGGA
rnacentral:misc_RNA from 1 species